GAGCCAUUAGCUCAGUUGGCAGAGCACCUGACUUUUAAUCAGGGUGUCGGUGGUUCGAGCCCACCAUGGCUCA
rnacentral:tRNA from 1 species